rnacentral:lncRNA from 1 species
AGGCAGGGCUGUGCGCGCCUCCCUAGGAUUGUUGGAAGAUGCACUCUCAUAAACACUCCCAACCCUUGGGUCAAAGGGCUACAGGACUACAAUCCCAGCAUGCACCAGGCUCCAGGGCGAGGGGCAACCCUGGAAGAAGGGGCAGAGUGGUACCCGCCCCACCUAAUAUGCUGGGAGCUGUAGUCCGUUAACUACUCUCAGCCUGUUUGUCGGUACAAUAGAGACCAGCACAGCUGCAGUUACUCACAGUGGGACUUCACACCAUCCAGGGCCAGAGAAAUUGCUCCCCUUACAGAAAGUCCCAAAUGGAGAGAGGACCAUCAGAGUGCUUGUUCUACUCUCAAUAAAUGAUCUAAUCCAAUAUAAGCAACAACUCUGAUGGCCCUCAGACAACUUCAGCGUAUUUACUGAAGGCUUCCAGGCUCUAACUUUGACCACCAUUCAACUGUACCAUCCACAAAUGGACCGAAUGACUGCUGCCAACUUAGCUGCACAAAAUUUUGCUUAUUAGCAAAAAAUAGAAAAUACUUAAAACGUUUGUUGCUUUCACCAUUUUAAUGCAAAAUACUUUUGCAGCAUAAAUGUCACCAUAAGGUGGAGCCUUGGGAAUCCAGUAUAAACUAUCUCAGAAAACCUCAAUGGGUCCGCAACAAGCAGCAGAGGGCCUCAAUAGACUUCAACAAUGUCUGGACUCCAUGGACACUGUAGUCCGACAAAAGCAAAGAGCCUGGGAUCUUCUCCCAGCCGGGCAAAGAGGAACAUGUUUAUAUCUAAAAGAAGAAUGCUGUUUUUGAGAUCAAUCAGCCCGGUUUAGUCCAAGAAAAUAUUAAUAAUAUCAUCACCCAGGCAGACAAAAUUGAAUCUCUAGGAACUUCCAUGGGACCAUGAAAGCAAUGUCUAUUACCUGCCUUACUCUCUUUAAUAGUAACAGCCAUUACUAUACUUUCAGCUUUUACUUUUGUUCCAAUUUUGUUUAAAAUGUUAACUGAUUUCUUGCUCUCUUGCUUACGGC